CAGAGAUUGUUGGACAAGCUGAGACAAGAGUUAAUUUUCCUGUGGUUUUUCCUGGUGUUUAACUCUGUGCAAAGCAGAUGCAAAGCCAGUGGAGAACGACUACAGGAAGAUAGAGUCCCAUCAGGGCACCCUCGGUAGGAAGUGCAAAUGGAGCCGAGUUUUCUGCAGUUCUCAUGAGGCAGCAGCAUUUCAGCAGGCAGAGCUGGAGGAGUCAAGCAGGCAGAGUCAGUGCACAAUUAGGGAGAGAAAAAGAGCAAAAUCUCCAUCCAAUCUGCUUCUAGCUUGACAGAUAAUGAAAAACAUUUCAGAUUUAUCCUUUCCAAAUUGCCCAUAGCCCUAUUUCAUAUUCAAGACUAAAGAAUCCGUCUCAGCUAAUAAUUCUUAAACAUUGAAUUCAAAGUACCAUUGUGAAAAUUAAUGGAUAUGUUAAAUGAGCAGAUAUUCAGCUCGUAUACAAUUCAUUGUAAAUUCUGGAAUGGCAACAAAACUACAUCAAUUAGGACAGAAGUUGUGGAUAGUAAAUGUAUAUUACACUAUCUCCC
ensembl:lncRNA